CCAACGGCGCCUGCGCGCGCCGCGGCCGGGCGGGACCCCCGCCGCCCCGGCCCCUCGCCGCCCGCAGCGGGAGGCGGCGGCGGCCGCGAACGGCGGUGCCGAGUGUAGCCGCGGGCGAGAGGCUGGAGCGCGGCGCUGCUGGAGGCCCGGGCAGGACCGGUGUCAGAUGGCUUGGCUGAUGCAGAAGAAACCUUGAAACAUUAGACCAGCAACUGAAGAUGAGUACUGGUGUCAGACGUCUCGCUGACGAAGCCAGAUUUUUCAGACCUGUGUUUGAGAAGGCCACUUCGUUUUCAACAGCCCCCACUGUCCUGAAGCAUUUAUAGAUUUUGACAGGUCACGUGCUUUGUUCCAUCCUUGAUCAAAGUUAACAUUCUUUAAAUAUUUGGAGAUUUUUGGGGGUGGGAAGAAUGACAAGAGUGCUAGUGGUUAAAAAUGUGCGUGUGUGCGUGCACGCACACACCACUGUGAUGAACACAGGCUACUUCUGUUUCUGCUUGGUAGCAUUUUUGAUCCCACUUUAUAUUCACGUAAGCAUAAAUACCUAUCUACAAAGAGGUACAAAGGACUGGAUAGGCAGUUGCUCAUAAUGAAUCAGCCUUCAGCUGGAACUACAGAGACUUAAAUAUCUGGAGUAAAAGAUCGUAGUUGAAUGGUCACUUGAAGCCAUUACCACUUCCAGAAGCAGCUGUGCCUUCCCUAUGCUCACUGCUGUUGGGUCUGGCCCUUGCAUCAGCCUCUUUUGAAGUGGUGCAAUUGCUUGUGCAGCCACGUGGUGAGUUAAGACCGGGGAAUAGAUCUACAUCAAAACUGACCCUACCCUUUUUACCUUCUGUUGUCCUCAAAAAAAACCCACCAACAAACCCUAUCAAAGUUUGAGUGAAAGGCUGAAGAGAGGUCAGGACUGCCGCUAUCAAAACCAGGGACAGUUUGUAAAACUCCAGCCAGUUACUGGUAUGAAAUUUAGAACAAGGUAAUAGAAAACAGAUAAUUCAGUAGUGAUUGGCAGCCUUUUAUGCUUAAUAGCAAGGAAUACAUUUUUUUGUAGUCUGGUCAGCACCAGAAAAUUUCAAACUGGCUGCUGGAAUGUUGAAUAGAAAACUCAUAUUCACAGCAGUUGUAUGUUAUGUGUUUGACACACAAAUCAGGACUUCUUAUGAAAUAAUAGAGUUCAUGUAAAAAUCGAUGAUGAAAAAAAUGUUUCCUUCCAUCCCUCAGGAAACAUCAGUUUCUAUUCCCUCACAGGGAUAAUUUGCUUUAUGUUAUCAAAGCUCAUGCAUUUGUACCUGCAUCAACUACACAGUCAGGUACAUAUAUCUGAGACGUGCUAUUAGGGAGAAGAACCUGAGCAGCUGAAAGGUGGCAACCGCAACAGGAAAAAACCCCUAAACCUAAGCUUGCAUUUAGCAAAGUUCAAGCAAUCCUUCUUUAUAUGAUAAGACUUCCUUCCUCUAAAUAAAAAAAAUUACACGGUCUCCUCUUUUUCCUUUCACAGUUGUCUAGUCCUUUCCUGUCUAAGUACCUAUUCCAAAUUACGUUUGAAUUAAAAACUUUUUAAAAGGAGAGUGGGUGUCGCAUUUCAGUUAGCAUCUCUAAAUUUUGUGUGUUGGUCAUCUUUUGUCCUUCCCUGUGUGCAUCCUAUGAAUCCAGAAAAAAACAAGAGCAAAGAUCUUAGGCAGUAGCAUAUAAGAGGGCUGCAAACAACAGAAAUCUGACCUUUUCUCAGGCACUGAAGUACAGAGGGUAGACAGAAGUAUGCCAUUUUAUUGUUCAGGGGUUUGAGUAUUAGCACACCACACAUUUAAAUUUUAUAAAGGAGAAAGCAGCAUUGGAUUUUUAAUAGGAGCUACUAUGCAAGAACAGACUUCAGGGCAAGAAAAUCAUCUGGAAAUUGUCUCCAUCGGGAAAAGAAACAUAUCAGUUAAGCUCUGGGAGAUGCGGGGGAUUCUGACUUUCAGAUCCUGCUAAGAUCAGAGUUGGAUCAUCCUCCCAGUGCGAGGUAAGACACUGAAGAUACUUUGCCUCAAGACAGCAGCUCCUAUUUUUCAUUUCUUUUGUCUCAGGCCAAAGCAAGAUCAUGCUUUCACCUGUGGCAGCAGACCUUCCUUUUACCCUCUUUCCCUCCAGGCGCAGCCAUCGCUACUUGACUGUAGUCACCACUAAUAACUGUCUGUCACCAGACUUGGUUGCAGGGGUUGAUUUCACCUUUGCAUAAGUGGUUGCAAUCAUGUUCAUCCACACAGAUGUUUUACGUGCAUUGCACCAGAAAAUAUGAUCAUGUUAAUUAGGAAAAAGGCAGCAUAUGGCACUGAAAUGACAGUGCUGUAUAAAAUCCUGCUAACCUCUCAUCAUAUGCAUUAGGUGGGCUUCACAAGCUGCACCAUCUUUUGAUCUCGCUUCUAAUAAAUCUCACUAAAAUGUCACCCUCUUGAAAGCAAGACAUCAACUUAAUAGGACUUAACUGUCUUUCCCCACAGAAGAUGUCUUGAUGUGUGAGUAGCAGAAAUUGGGGAAGCUUGCUUAUGGUUGGUGGUGUCUAAUGCUUUGCCUAGCUUUGAAGUAGUACCUACUUUUUGCAAUUAAGGCAGAAUUUGUGACAGAGUUGGUAAAUCACCAUAGACAUACCCCAAAAAUAAGUAUAAAACAGGAUUAGAUUGCUAAUAUUGCUAUAAAAAUAUUUGGAAGCUUGAACUUGCAUUUUUAAAAUAAAAAUGAAAGGGGGGGAAAAACAAAGCAAACUAUGGCAACAAAAAACACAAUCGAACACUCAUCUAGAAGGUGUAGUAGUGUGUUAGGUGUGAAUUGUAAAGUAGUAUCUUCUGGAUUAAAAUGAAGAGAAUAUGAAAAAAUAAAUGCAUUCCAAAAGUGUGAAAUUCAGUUUCAAGUAUUACAACCAUAAUACUGAAGUGUGUAAUUUGAAUUUAAUGCACAAGAAAAUAUACAGAAGUUACUGUCCAAAUUUACAUGGUAAAAACCUCCAAGGAGUUAAAAAGAAAAUCAAUACAGUUUGUAUAGCUAGUAGACACAGAGUCUCUUAUUCUCAAGAUACCUGGAUUCAAUUGCUAGCAAAUCACUAAUUUGUGUAAAUUAGUAAGUCACUUAAUAUAGAUGAGAUUCAAUUAAGGAGACUUAGUCUUCCUUAAUGAUGUUUUCAGAAGUGUGAAGGGGCCUUGAUUGGAGGAGUAUAAAUACAUGCUGCCAAAAUAGACUGAGGGAGCCUUAAUGCUAAUUAGAAAUGUUUGCUCCAUGCUUUAGUUGUAAAUGUAAAGAACACCUCCUUAACCUCAUUGGGAUAUUGAAAGGAUGGUUUUACUGAUAUUUGGAAAGCUGACAAAGACCAGGGGAAGACCAACAAAGUCCUGCAAGAAGUUUCCAGCUGGUGUGAAUUGUCAGAGCAGAGACACCAGGAGGGUUGGCUCUACGAACCAGGGUUAAAGAGAGUUAUAAUCGGUAAUUAAAAAAGGAAUAACUGAAAUGAAUGUCUAUUGUGUGUUAAGACUUAACCUGACCUUUCAAACAACAUCUGCUGAAGAGUGCUUUCACCAUUACAGGCGCCUGUGUGAUGGAAUUAUACAGGAAUGCAAACAUUUCCUACAAUUUCCUCUAUCAGGCUCUUCUUUGAAGUCCUGAUCCUGCAAGUAUAGUAGAAGGCUCAAUAAUGACAAUAAGAAUACUUGUAUGUAUGUUAGAGAUACGGUGUCUGACUCACUGCUUAAAACUAGCUUUUCUGGAUGUAUGUAUGUUUAUAUAAAAUUGCACUGAAAGAGUAAAGCAUAAUGGAUCAGGUUUGAUGGUAUUACUGCGUUGAGUUUUAUCUGUGGUCACUAUACUAUCAGGAAAUAUUGUGACUGUGGUUUCUACAUCCUGAGUGGAAAUCUGGAAUUCAAUAAAAUACAGUCUCAUUACAGCA